UUCUAGAACUUCAACCGGCACUGAUAUAUCAGUGCCGGUUAAAUAUUUAUAAUUUUAUAAAUAUUUAUAAUUUACCGGCACUGGUAUAAUUUUUAUACCAGUGCUGGUUGAAUAUUUAUAACC
rnacentral:snoRNA from 1 species